rnacentral:lncRNA from 1 species
UAUUGUAUUACUCAGGGAGAACUAGGAGUACCAGGUGCUCCAGGUGAACCAGGCUACCCAGGCAUUCCUGGUACCCCAGGCAUAAAGGGGGACAAAGGAAACCAAGGUGACAGCGGUAUCCAGGGACUGAAAGGAGAGAAAGGAAGACAAGGAAAUCCAGGCUUACAGGUACUGUUAAAAGAGGGAUCCUAGUUCAAGAAAAUCAUAGAGAUCCUAGUUUG